rnacentral:lncRNA from 1 species
CGCUGUUUAACUCCACAGUCCCCAAGCGUUAUAGUCAGGACGCUGGCGAUUUAGAUGUGCCACCGAGGGGCUGUCAGGGCUUCCUCUCAGAGCGAGAGUUCUCUACUCAGUAAGGAGGAAACCAUAUGCGGAGUUGCUGGGUCUCCAGUUAUUCAUCUCUUACUGUGCCUGAUUUAUGAGUUAGGCUUGGUCAUAGUAUCUGUGUCCACGCAAACACAAAGGUGUACAUGUCUCGCAUUUACUGGGGUUCCUAGCACAUCCCCAGCCCAUGGGAGGAGAUUACCGUACGGAAGUCCGCACAAGAACACGCAGGAAAGGCCAAGCCCUCUUCCUGUGCCCUUGCUUCCUGAGACAGGCACUGGUGCAGGGCACUGGUGAGACGGCCGCGCCAGCUCUGAACAGGCCUGGCCGACCGAGGAUCCUCCAGAGAAGCCAGGAAUAUCCCAGGCACCAGAUGGUAGCAACUGAGGAUCUGAACUUACAGUGUGGAGUCUGUGGUGGCUCUGAAAUCCCACAGGACAAUAGCUGAACCCCUAAUUGUCAGGAUCAGUUCCGUGGGCUGCAGUGACCUGUGGUUUCACAGGAGAAAUGCCUGCAGCUGGAAAAGCAGCAGCGGAGCUCUAGACCCGAAGGUGGAGGGAUGGAACUCAAGACCUUGAGCUUGCGAGGCAGGCGGCAGAACCACUGAGCUAAAUCCCCGGCCCUAAUUUUCUUUUUUAUAUAAUUUAUUUUUUAUUUUUACUAGUACCGGUGCGCGGUACAUGGUCACCCAUUUCCAGUGGGGAGUUGCCACCUGUACAUAGCAUCUUAAUUCCUUUUCAUCCCCUGCCCCCCCCCAAAGCUCUACCUCCCCACUUCCAGUUACCUGUCUUUUAUUUUGCUCUUUACUUAUAAUUUGGGUUUCUCAUAUAAGAGGAACUCCCCAGCACACACCCAGAAUCCUGGGAUUACAGGUGUGCCAUCACGCCUAGCUGCCUGCCUUCCAUUCUUUCCUUUCUCCCUUCUGAAACAGGAUCUCACCCUGUUGCUCAGGCAAGCUUUACACUCUUGGACUGAAGGGAUCCUCCUGCCUUGGCCUCGGGGGGUAGCGCACCCAACCCUGCCUGGCCCUUUUCUCUUAACCUGUGAGGAGCAUAGGAAAGGCGUGUCACACUGUGCUAAGUUUGAAGUGCAUCUCUAAUCAUGCUUUGAAGUUGUAAUUAGCGUGGCAGUCUUUACUAAGUUAUAGGUGUCACAAGCCGCUUGCUGUUUGAAUCAGGCACCCAGAAAGUGUAACGCACUAGGACCUAAUGGUCUCUUCUACAACAACCAGCACCACCUGCAGACCUAGAAGUGAUGUUUACAUCUCCAAGAGCGGUUGAAACAUACUGUUUUCCAAGCUGCAGGACUCUGGUGAGGAGGAAGCUCGAGCUUCCCGCUCUCAGCUCCUUUCUCACGCUGCUCCUCGGCCUGCGAAGCCUGCAAGGCUGGCCCUGCUGGCAUUUCCGGCGCUGUCCCUCUGCCCUGGUCCCGAGAGCCCUGCCCGCCUGGUCCUGGCCUGGAAGCGGCACCUCCUCACCCUUGUCCCCACCAGCUGUGCAGCCUUCUCCUCCUCAACCUCGCUUCCUGUUAAGCUUUCCCACCACUGCCCAGCAUUCUUCAGUCAUUCAUUCAUUCAUUCAUGUAUUCACCUCCUUACCGUGGGGUGCUGGAUAGAGCCCACCACCUCGCUCAUGCUAGGCAGCUGUGGCGCCCCUGGGGUUACCUGGACCCCACACUCUGGCAAGUGAGCGCUAGCAAAGGCAGCUCUCACCCCUGCCUCAGCUACCACAGCUCUCAUCAAAAGCGCUCUUCGCAGCUGGCAAAACCCAGGGUUCGCUUCUGAGUGCUCUCCUCUCUCGCUGGGCAGCAUUUGUUCUCACUCACCAGCCUCCUUUUCUGUGGCACCACCAUCACCCCACCUCGGUCUCAGCCCUUGGGCUUCUCCCUCACCCCGCUGCUGCUCUGUUUCCGCCUCCCAGACCUGGCCCUGCAGCCCCCGGGCCCUGCCCUCUCUCCCAUGUCCACAGCCAUGUCCCGUCCCUAGCACAGCCCGGCAGCUCUGCCACCGACGUGAGCCCUGAGCCUCACACCCAGCGCCGUUUCCCGCAGCCCCAGCUGCACCCUGCACCUCUCUGCAGCCCUGGCUCCAGUGCCCUCGCUUCCCCAUGGCUCCAUCUUCAGAUCCUCUCCAUGACACGGUGGGACCACCUUUCAAAACAGAGAAGUGUUGUAAGAUGACCUCUGAGGACAGCAAUGACAUGUGACCCUCCCGGGGUCACAGUCCUGAAGAAAGCAGCCCCCUGGCCAGCAAGACACCCCCUUACCUGAUCACCUUCCCCAUCCACACCCCUCCAGCCCCCUCCAUAGGGCUCCUAGUCCUCUCCACUCUUGCAUAGCCAUGUCCUGCAGUGUGCAUGUCACCCUGCACUGCGGCUCCCUCUGGGUUUGCAAUCCAGGUGUCCUGUCGCUCCGCCUCCUUCUCUGGCUGCUCUACCGGAAGUGGUCCUUGCCACCACCCCACCACUGUCACACCCAGACUUCACAACGCUUGCCCUGUCUUGUGGCAUCUCCGUGGUUCGUGCUGGUGCCAAGCACUUCCACUUGCCAGCAUCAUAGGCCAGCAAGUCAGCCACCCUUCCCUGUUCAUCCCCAACGAUUUGGGUGCCAGAUAUCUAAGGCCUGGCCUGGUCAUUGGAAAGGUCACCAAGAGGUAAACUCCUCUUCCAGUGGCGGGCAAAGUCCCCUGUGCACCGCCAGACCUCGCUGCCUCCCUGUACUGAGUCCCUCUCAGCCUGACCUGGGAGCACCCGCUGCAAACUCCCUACUCCCCACCUCUGAAUGUCCUGGGGAAGCUCUGGCUCCAUGCCGUCUGUGACUGCAGUCCUGGGACAGAGGAACCAGACAGAGGCCAGCUGGUGGUUGGCGGUCGGCACGAGAACAUUCACAGUCCAGGAAGGCCGCAGAGAGCUCUCUGUCGGGUGCCGACAGUGGGGUUGUCGCACAGGGAAGGUGUCUCAGAACUGACAGGCAGGACCUGGGGAUGGGUGGUCCCUAGGUCGGGCCAUUAGGAAGGGCCGAAGUCCGGGCGACUAGAACCAUGUGUGGUAUCCAGUGGCUCUGGCGGCAGGAGGCCCACGAUCAAGGCACCAGCAGGUGACUUCUCCCGAGGCUGCUGUCUAUGGCUGUGGAGGGCCCUCUCUGUCCCCGCUCCUCCCUGGCCUUUGUCCACAGCCCCACACCUCUCUCAGAAGCAGCCCAGGACCCGUGCUUACAAGGUCACCGAAUCCUAAUUACCUCCAUGGAGCCUCUGACCCCAGGACAGUCCUACUGGGGUCAGAGGAACACGGACAACAUAAGUCAUUUUCCAGGAUGUACACAGCUCCUGGGAGCGAGGACGGGUUUCGAACCUGUGUAGUCUGGCUCCAGAGCCUCAGCUGCUAAGCUGCACCGCCCCACUUGGAUUUAUCUUGUUUUGUUGUCUUCGCUGCGCAGCAGAGCCCCUCGGACCCAUGGAAGACAGGAGCUCAGCCCCAGCCGCUUCUGUCUGCUCUGCAUCCUCUUCUGAGCCAAAGCGGUCACGGACCUGGGCAAUCGCCACGGCCGCAGGUCCUGCUCCCCCGGAACCCGAGACCCUGCACAACUGCAGUCGCCAUGCAGCUGUGCUGCCCCCACUGCCAGGCCCCGUCCUUCCGAAUCCCUUCCAGCCGGACUCCGAGGCCCUGUUUUCAAGCUCAAACGUGUUAGCUUCGGCCACUGUGUUAAAUAGGAGCCUGCGACCGUGGGAGCAUCUGAGCCGCGUGGGCGGGUAAGGACUCUGCCUUGUCCGUGGGUCUAUCCUUGGAGCAGACCCGUGCUGAGCACAUAAUGUGAGCUCUGCAGGUGUUCACUGCUUGCCUGAAUGAGAGCCUUCUCGGUGCCCAGUGAGCCGCUUACGUUUACGGCUCUGCACUUUCUGCAUGGAGCUUCCUUUUUGCGUUGGUGUCUUAGAGAGGUCUUCUGUGUGCCCCGCAGGAGCAGCCUCGGACUCCACCUCCCCAGGUUAGGCUGAGGGGGAUACAUCUGCCCCUGCUCCUCUUCGCUUCCUGCACCCCUUCACUUCCUAGGCCGACACAGGCCUUCUGUACGUGAGAAUUCCCAGUGAUGAUCACCAUGGCUAUUUGACAACAAGGGUCAAGAGAAUUCUUGAGGAGACACUGGUUUUCCAAACUCUAACAGGAUAAACUAUUAAAAAGCACAACCACAGAAAGUGCUGCCCAAACCAGAGAGCCACGAGCCACCAGUGGUCCCAGCAGGGCUUUGCGGUGCCCCCAACUAUGUUACAUCCCCUCCUGGUAGCCUGGAAAGUGCACUCCGCAGAGGCCACACCCGCGAGCGGCCGCGUCAUGACGACUGUGAACAUGGCCCUCCGCCUUGGACGUUGGUGGCCACCUCUCCUCGAAGGCCCGGGGCAUGUGGCUCAGUUUCAUAAGCAAUCCCGGGUCUGGGUAAACAUGCUUGACUGAUUAAUGAUAACAGCUCUUAAAACACCACAGAUGUUUCCAGUGCCCAGAAAUGUUUAUUUUUUAUACUAAAUUAAAUUCAUUUUCCUUCUCAUUCCCUCUAAGGAGAACGGUGACAAACUUAAAUUCAGAGUGGACUGCUGGAUUAAAGAUGGCCAUGUGCCACAGCCUCUAACAAGGCGACAGGCUGG